rnacentral:lncRNA from 1 species
GCUGGGUCUAGAGGACAAAGGUGGAAGCUGGAAUCAAUGCUUCUUGAUGAGACGGAUGUUCCUCCAAGUACAUGAAGUUCUCUGAAGCAUCUCCAGUUCCACUUUCCAAAGUUUCACAAGAGACUCAGGCAAAGCAACAGUGAAGAAUGGUGGCGUGUGAACAGUUUGGGAGCCCACCUACUCCUUGCCCCGCUGUAUGAGAGACCCAGACAGAAAGCUCACCUGCCCCUAGACAAGGACUGGUUUUAAGAUUGCURAUGCUGGCAACAAGUCUUGCUCUGGACUGCUGUGASUGCUGCCUGUCAUCCGCACCAAAUCAGGAUGAAGAGGAUUUUUAGAAGUCAAGACUCUUGAGGGAAGCAGCUGUUGAGUUCUUCCCAACUGAAGACCCAAAAUUCUCAACAUGUCUUCUAGUUUUGCGACGUGGCCUGGAGUUUCUGUCUGCUUGCGAUCUGCCCUGCCUCUGCCCAGCGCUGCCUCUUGCCUUUCCCUGGAGAUGAAGCUCUCCUUGUAGACAUAGCUACAACUGGUUGUCAAAGCACAGAAGAACACUGUUAAGGAAAAAGRCUUGUACAAAUACAGUUACACAUGAGCUUUUGUACAAGAACAUCUUCU